UACGUAGGAUGCAAGCGUUGUCCGGAUUUACUGGGCGUAAAGCGCGCGCAGGCGGCACUCUAAGUACGCUGUGAAAUAUCCCGGCUCAACCGGGAGGGUGCAGUGUAGACUAGGGAGCUAGAGGUCGGUAGAGGGGGGUGGAAUUGCUGGUGUAGCGGUGAAAUGCGUAGAGAUCAGCAGGAACACCCGUGGCGAAGGCGGCCCCCUGGGCCGUACCUGACGCUGAGGCGCGAAGGGCUAGGGGAGCGAACGGG
rnacentral:rRNA from 1 species